rnacentral:rRNA from 1 species
GACGAACGCUGGCGGCGUGCUUAACACAUGCAAGUCGAACGGAAAGGCCCUGCUUUUGUGGGGUGCUCGAGUGGCGAACGGGUGAGUAACACGCGAGUAACCUGCCCUUGACUUUGGGGUAACUUCAGGAAACUGGGGCUAAUACCGGAUAGGAGCUCCUGCUGCAUGGUGGGGGUUGGAAAGUUUCGGCGGUUGGGGAUGGACUCGCGGCUUAUCCGCCUGUUGGUGGGGUAGUGGCUUACCAAGGCUUUGACGGGUAGCAGGCCUGAGAGGGUGACCGGCCACAUUGGGACUGAGAUACGGCCCAGACUCCUACGGGAGGCAGCAGUGGGGAAUAUUGCACAAUGGGCGGAAGCCUGAUGCAGCAACGCCGCGUGCGGGAUGACGGCCUUCGGGUUGUAAACCGCUUUCGCCUGUGACGAAGCGUGAGUGACGGUAAUGGGUAAAGAAGCACCGGCUAACUACGUG